CCCCCUUUUCCCAAAUAAAUCAAAACCAAACGAACCCUAAGCCUGAACAAAAGAAACCGACUAGUUCCCUUCACCACGCGAACCCAACGGUAACAAAACCAUUUUGGGGAAUGAUUUCGCAUCAUCUUUCGUGUGUAUAAGUCGCUGUCCGCCCAUUUGGGCAAAGCAUUUAAUGCCUUUGUUGUCUUCUUCCCCAAAUCAAAUCUUGAACGGUAAUUUUCUUUUCUAUCUGUUUUUCUCUUUUGUUUUUUGGAGAAAUAUUCGAAUUUCAAACUCGGAUUUCAAAGGAAAUCCCGCGAAUUUCAGUUUCAAGUCCGUCCCACAUCGAUUGAAAAGCUAGAACCCUAGCCAUUUGGUGUUCUAUAAAUAGAACCCUCUCCUUCAUUGUCAAGGGAUAAAUUUUUGACACCCCCAGAACCCCGAAUGAUAAAUGAAUUCGGCUAAAAUGCAUUUUGAGCCCGAGCCUCGAAUUCGAGUUGUGUUCUGAGUUCAAAGUUAAUAAUUUUUGUUGGUUCUAUUUGUCGUCGUUGGUGAAAGAUGAUCGACUCAACUCCCGUCGCUGCUCGGCAAAAAGGUACAAAUAAGCGAAUUUGUGGAGCAAAGCUUAAAGACGAAUUAAGAAAGUUGGACGUUUAGAGCUUUGGAGUGUUGGAGCUUCGGACGAAGAACUAGAAAGAGCGUAGAAGACCUAUUGGAAUAGGAUUGCUAAAAGAUUUGGGCUCAAGGCCGAAAAGCUAAACUUUGUUUCCCUUCCCUUCCUUUUAUAAUAUGUUUACAUUAGUUUUGUAUAAACAUGUAAAAAUACACUUGUGUAGAUAUUGAAACCCUUAUAAGUUAGAACCUAGAAUUUAGGUAAAUGAUGCGGAUAGGGACUCGAAUAUGUUUCAAAUUGGACUCGAGAGAUAAAUGAGUUGUAUUCCAUUUGUUUAAAAGAAUAAAAGUGAAAAAUGUUUUUCUUAUACAAAAAA